rnacentral:rRNA from 1 species
AAGUCUUCGGAUGGAAUCGAUAAGUUCUAGCGGCGGACGGGUGAGUAACGCGUGAGCAACCUGCCCUCCACAGGGGGAUAACGCACCGAAAGGUGCACUAAUACCGCAUAAGGCCACGGCACUGACAUGGUGCGGGGGUCAAAGGAGUAAUCCGGUGGAAGAUGGGCUCGCGUCUGAUUAGCUAGUUGGUGAGGUAACGGCCCACCAAGGCGACGAUCAGUAGCCGACCUGAGAGGGUGAUCGGCCACAUUGGAACUGAGAGACGGUCCAAACUCC